rnacentral:rRNA from 1 species
CAGCAGUAGGGAAUCUUAGACAAUGGGGGCAACCCUGAUCUAGCCAUGCCGCGUGUGUGAUGAAGGCCCUAGGGUCGUAAAGCACUUUCGCCAGAGAUGAUAAUGACAGUAUCUGGUAAAGAAACCCCGGCUAACUCCGUGCCAGCAGCCGCGGUAAUACGGAGGGGGUUAGCGUUGUUCGGAAUUACUGGGCGUAAAGCGCACGUAGGCGGAUUAGUAAGUUAGAGGUGAAAUCCCAGGGCUCAACCCUGGAACUGCCUUUAAUACUGCUAGUCUUGAGUUCGAGAGAGGUAAGUGGAAUUCCGAGUGUAGAGGUGAAAUUCGUAGAUAUUCGGAGGAACACCAGUGGCGAAGGCGGCUUACUGGCUCGAUACUGACGCUGAGGUGCGAAAGUGUGGGGAGCAAACAGGAUUAGAUACCCUGGUAGUCCACACCGUAAACGAUGAAUGCCAGACGUCAGCAAGUAUACUUGUUGGUGUCACACCUAACGGAUUAAGCAUCCGCC